AUUGAACGCUGGCGGCAUGCUUUACACAUGCAAGUCGAGCGGCAGCGCGGGGGCAACCCUGGCGGCGAGCGGCGAACGGGUGAGUAAUGCAUCGGAACGUAUCCUCGAGUGGGGGAUAACCCAGCGAAAGUUGGGCUAAUACCGCAUGAGCUCUGAGGAGGAAAGCGGGGGACCUGCGAGGGCCUCGCGCUGGAGGAGCGGCCGAUGUCCGAUUAGCUAGUUGGUGGGGUAAAGGCUUACCAAGGCGACGAUCGGUAGCUGGUCUGAGAGGAUGAUCAGCCACACUGGGACUGAGACACGGCCCAGACUCCUACGGGAGGCAGCAGUGGGGAAUGUUGGACAAUGGGGGCAACCCUGAUCCAGCCAUGCCGCGUGAGUGAAGAAGGCCUUCGGGUUGUAAAGCUCUUUCGGACGGAACGAAAUGGGCGGGACUAAUACUCCUGUCUGAUGACGGUACCGGAAGAAGAAGCACCGGCUAACUACGUG
rnacentral:rRNA from 1 species